rnacentral:rRNA from 1 species
GACGAACGCUGGCGGCGUGCUUAACACAUGCAAGUCGAACGGAAAGGCCCUGCUUUUGUGGGGUGCUCGAGUGGCGAACGGGUGAGUAACACGUGAGUAACCUGCCCUUGACUUCGGGAUAACUUCAGGAAACUGGGGCUAAUACCGGAUAGGAGCUCCUGCUGCAUGGCGGGGGUUGGAAAGUUUCGGCGGUUGGGGAUGGACUCGCGGCUUAUCAGCUUGUUGGUGGGGUAGUGGCUUACCAAGGCUUUGACGGGUAGCCGGCCUGAGAGGGUGACCGGCCACAUUGGGCCUGAGAUACGGCCCAGACUCCUACGGGAGGCAGCAGUGGGGAAUAUUGCACAAUGGGCGGAAGCCUGAUGCAGCAACGCCGCGUGCGGGAUGACGGCCUUCGGGUUGUAAACCGCUUUCGCCUGUGACGAAGCGUGAGUGACGGUAAUGGGUAAAGAAGCACCGGCUAACUACGUG